CUGUGCUAAGUUGUUAGACCCCCGAAAACUCAAGUAUCCGGGGUCUCAGGCCAGGUUCGCGGUCACCCCAAUCACCAGGCGGAUUCGAGAGCUUGCUGCAAACUGCACGAGGCUUUAUUGUAAUUUAACGAACUAACCCCAUGUUAGCUCGGGUCUUUCACCCACCCGCCAUGGCGGACAGCUAGAAAAAGACGGCUCCUAAGGUCUCCCCAAAGAUCUUAUAGGGCAGCGUAAGGGGAGUGUCUAGGGGUACGCACAGGCUUACGAUUGGUGUGCCUCCAGGCUUGGAGGGCUUGCCCUGUGUUGAUUGGUCAACUGGUUGUUAUGGCUCAUAGGCCCUCCCAGGGUGGUUGCUAUGCUCUCUACGUCAUUGUCGUGCGCUUGUCCGUAAAGCACACCCAGGGUCGUAAAGCAUAGCGCCACCAGCUAACUUCCGAUUGGUUCCUUGUCACGAGACAGGCAUCUGACCUCUACGUGACCAAGGCAGGUUUAUGGCAAGCACGUGUUCGGCUGUAAUGGCUGCCAAAAGGGAAGCCGGUUCCUUCAUUCCCCCAUUUUCUUUUCUGGAAAUUCCAAUCAUGGAAUUGCUGUCUCUCUAGCAUCCCCAUCAGGGAGUGAUAGAUAUUGGCAUCCCCAUGUAAGGGAGUUCCUUUUGACUUAGCAUUUUAACCAGGGAAAAUGGACGGCGAAAUUCUUUUCUAAACUGCUUCCUGCUGACUUUGGGACGAAGUUAGGGACCCCAGAAGGUUGAAAUGCUAGUCAAAAGCAAAAAGGAAUUUAGGCAAUGGGGAAUUCAUCAGGGGCUUCUGGGUAGCAGACACUGUUGCAGAGACAGGGGGUGUCCAUAUCAGCUGAACUGGUUCACAUCCACAGCAAGUUCAGGGCUCGCAGUCUUAGAACAGUCUGUAGUCAGCAACUGAUAUUCAGAUGUCUGCCAGAAGCAGAAACCUGUUUAAGACAUGUUUAAACUAGGAACAGAGGUUAAAGCUUAUUUAUUGAAGCCCACAGUGUAGAAAAAGCAGAUAUCUGUUUAAACAGCAAGAACAUAUUUAUAACUUUGAGUCCUAGCAAAAACUGCAGAUUUGGGCUAUAAGCAUGUACAUUUUUCUUCUGUCCAGAGAGCCAGGUAUGGAUUGGACAGAGGUGCCUUUGGCCUGAUGAAAAGCCCUUUAAGUUUGUACUUAGAUGACAACCAAAAUAAACUUAAAAACUUUGAGCUCGUGCCUGAACAGUAGAUAGUUACUAUUUUAUUAGCUAACAUACUGACUAGUCUAUAGUGGACCUGACUGCCUGAUGCUGUCAAGCUGACAACCAGUAAUAUUUCAGAGAUCUGAGAAGGGUAUAUUUUGUCCGAAUCUACUAAAAAGUGACAGAAGCCAGUUAGAAGCCAGUCUAUAUACAGUUAGCCAAACCCAAGUUUCUCCAUUACUGUUGGAGGCAGCUGUCUCAAAGAACAGCAAUCUUCGCCAGGCCUAUACUGUGAGAGUUUUUUUCCUCUCUGUGGAAGAGGGACAUGGAAAAGACUGACCUUGUUUUGUCUAGGCAAAGGGGUGCAAUCAAUUUUCCAGUGUCCAGCAGCUUUGUCCACAGUCUCGGCUAGGUUCUGGCAGGCGGCAGGUAUCAUAUCUGAGCAUCUU
ensembl:lncRNA